rnacentral:tRNA from 1 species
GCUCAGUCAGUUGAGUGUCCAACUCUUGAUUUCAACUCAGGUCAUGAUCCCAGGGUUGUGGGAUCAAGUCCCACAUUGGACU